rnacentral:rRNA from 1 species
CCAAUAGCGUAUAUUAAAGUUGUUGCAGUUAAAAAGCUCGUAGUUGAAUUUCGGGGUUCCACCGUUGGUCGGGCUAUUGUUUGUACUGGCGUGUGGAAUUUCUACCUUCUGGGGAACUAUCAUGUUAUUAAUUUAGCGUGGUAGGAAACCAGGACCUUUACCUUGAAAAAAUUAGAGUGUUCAAAGCAGGCUUAUGUCUGAAUACAUUAGCAUGGAAUAAUAAAAUAGGACGGUGGUCCUGUUUUGUUGGUUUCUGAAUAACCGUAAUGAUUAAUAGGGAUAGUUGGGGGCAUUAGUAUUCAAUUGUAAGAGGUGAAAUUCUUGGAUUUAUUGAAGACUAACUACUGCGAAAGCAUUUGCCAAGGAUGUUUUCAUUAAUCAAGAACGAAAGUUAGGGGAUCGAAGACGAUCAGAUACCGUCAUAGUCUUAACCAUAAACUAUGCCGACUAGGGAUCGGACGAUGUUAACUUUUCUUGACUCGUUCGGCGCCUUACG